rnacentral:rRNA from 1 species
GACGAACGCUGGCGGCGUGCUUAACACAUGCAAGUCGAACGGUGAAAGCGGAGCUUGCUCCGCUGGAUCAGUGGCGAACGGGUGAGUAACACGUGGGCAACCUGCCCCUCACUUCGGGAUAACUCCGGGAAACCGGGGCUAAUACCGGAUAUGACCUCCUUGGGCAUCCUUGGAGGUGGAAAGUUUUUCGGUGAGGGAUGGGCCCGCGGCCUAUCAGCUUGUUGGUGAGGUAGUGGCUCACCAAGGCGACGACGGGUAGCCGGCCUGAGAGGGCGACCGGCCAGACUGGGACUGGGACACGGCCCAGACUCCUACGGGAGGCAGCAGUGGGGAAUAUUGCGCAAGGGGCGAAAGCCUGACGCAGCAACGCCGCGUGCGGGAUGACGGCCUUCGGGUUGUAGACCGCUUUCAGCAGGGAAGAAGCCGCAAGGUGACGGUACCUGCAGAAGAAGCACCGGCUAACUACGUGCCAGCAGCCGCCGCCG